rnacentral:snRNA from 1 species
GGGCUUGCUUCGACAGCACAUAUACUAAAACUGGAAUGAUACAGAGAAGAUUAGCAUGGCCCCUGCACAAGGAUGACAUGCAAAUUCGUGAAGCAUUUUGUAUCUAU